rnacentral:lncRNA from 1 species
AAUCAGACCAAGGCGGUUCCUUUGUGCUAUUCAAAUACCGAACGGACCCCGGGCCUCCAACGCCGCUGCUGCCUCGAAUGUUCUCCUGGGGCCGCGGCACCGCGUGGGACUCGGAGCUUCCUAGGUAGCCGCCCACAGCGUCGGUCGUCUCUCGGGAACCACGUUGAGGACUGCGGCUACCCUGGACCUGGCUCCCGCGAGCUGGGGGUCGGCUCACCUGAGCGCCGCGGAGAUGGCUCCGCCCCCUUCCGCACCGUUGGGCCUCACCUGCAGCAGGUGCGCGCGGUUCCCCGCUCCGGGCCACGCGGCGCCUCCUCUUUCUCACCUGCUAAGGCCAGGGGAAUCUGGGAGAGGAUCUUCAAGUGUGGAGGCCUCACCCCUUCACAUCGGCUGUCUCCUGGUCUCAACAUAGCUGGUGCUCCUUCGGGUCUCACAUUCAGGCAAAAUCAAAAGAGGGGGUUGUCACAGCAGCCUUCAGUGUCUCACUCUCAGUCUGCAGUCAUCGAUACCACUGCAAAAGAAGCUUCCAGUGGCAGCACGGAUCAUGGACUUCCACAUGGUUUCCAGUGGCAGCACAGACCACAGACGUCAAUGCAGUCUGUUGGUCGCAAGGGCCAUGGACAUCAACACGGUCUCCAUUGUCAGCAUGGACCGUGGAAGCCUUUGGGAGGAGACUAAUCCAGAAAAUGGACCACUCUUCCUCUUGAAUAUCCUGUUACUGCCAGAGUCAGGAUGAUUGUGAGGUUGGGCAUUGGUUGGGCAUUGUGUUUGGGGUGGCGGUGACGGGCAGGACUGAUGCAAGCUGAAGGCUGCUGAGACUACCCUGCCCUCUUCACUGGCUGCCCUGCUAGUAUCCGGGGUAUGAGCUUGCAGCCCAGCAACGCAAGCUCCUUUGUCUCUAGUCUGCUUCUCUCCACCAUGCGUGCCCUCCAUCCCACCACCUUGCCCAUGUCUCUGUCACACAUUCGUUUAUUAAGGUGGUACUUCAAUGGCUUGUGUGUCACAUAGUAUAUUAUUUUUCCCCAACAGCUUUACAUGCAAAUACUUACUGCAACAAAUCACUGACCUGGUUCAAGGUUUCUGAAGCAACAUAAAUACUGGAAUAUUGCUGAAACUCAUCUCGGAUAUCCUGUUGUUGCCCAGAGUCACAGUGAGCAGUGUGUCCAGGGCCAGGACCUGUGUGUGGUGACCUAUGCUUUCCUCCCCGAGGUGGUAGCAGCAGUGGCAGUGGCUCCAUGUCACAGGCCUUACAUUUUAUUUUGAAAGAUUUAUGUAUAUGAGUGUUUUGUCUGAAUGUAUUAUGUGUGUCUACCAUAUGUGUGCCUGGUGCCCACAGAGAUCAGAAGAGGGCAUCAGAUCACUUAGAGCUGGACUUAUAUAUAGAUGGUUGUGAGCUGCCAUGUGGGUGCUGGGAACUGAACCUGGGUCUUCUGCAAGAGCAGCAAGUGCUCUUAACAGAUGAGACAUCUCUCCGGCUCAUAAAAAAUUUAAAACAUCUUAGGGCGUCAUGCCUACUGUGCACGUGGAAGUCAGAGGACAAUUGUGGGGGUCAGUUCUCUCCUCUCACUGUGUGAGUUUCAGGGAUUGAACUCAGGUCUCCAAGCUUGGUGGCAAGCGCCUUUAUUGUAUGAGCCGUUUCACUGGACCUGCCUAUUUCCUUUCCACCUGUCUUCUUUUAACCUAAUUCUUUCUUCAACCAUCCCUAGAAUAUCUUUCCAUUUCAUGUUUUUAAUCUCUCAUUACUCAGAGAGAGAGGAGGGAGGGAAGAUGAGUCACUUGGAGCAUCGGCCCACAGAUGCCGCAGGCAUGAGCUGCACUGAUGCAGCUGAGCAAGUGGUCCCCAAAGCUUUAGUUCUCCAGUUUCACAGACUUCAGGGAGCCCUGGGGGCUCUCCAUCCUGAAAGGAGGUCCCUGAGUACUAAAGUGACCAUGUGUGUGGCUCUAGAUGUGGGAUCCUGGAAGGCAGGUGGGACUCAGGCCCAUGAAUCCCAAAGAAUCUACAAAGAAUGAAUAUUUUUGCAGGCUGGAGUGGCCGGUAUGGCUCCUGCUCCUGAGUCCUCAUUGGGAGAAGGCUCUGGCCUUGGCAGAGGUGGCUCUCCUCCCAGCAAGCCAGGAUUCCGCCGGCUGCUUCAAGCUCCCGCUGCCUUGCCCCUCCCUGCCAUGAUGGACUGUACCACAAACUGUGAGCCAAAAUAAGCCUUUCAUCCUUUGAGUUGCUUCUGUGACAGUUAUUUGCUAGCUUGAGACAGGACCUCACUGUGUAGCCCAGGUUGGCCUGGAAUUCACAGAGACCCACCUGCCUCUGCCUCUCCUGAAUGCUGGGAUUAAAGGCGUGCACCACCAUGCUUAGUAUGUCAGAGUGUUUUGUAACAACAACAGGAAAAUAAAUGAAGACACCAAGGAAUGAAUAAAAUUUCCCCAGAGUGUAGUUCAGAGGCAGUGAGCACCGAUUCAUUGCUGCCAUGGC